rnacentral:rRNA from 1 species
GAUGAACGCUGGCGGCGUGCCUAAUACAUGCAAGUCGAGCGAACGGACGAGAAGCUUGCUUCUCUGAUGUUAGCGGCGGACGGGUGAGUAACACGUGGAUAACCUACCUAUAAGACUGGGAUAACUUCGGGAAACCGGAGCUAAUACCGGAUAAUAUUUUGAACCGCAUGGUUCAAUAGUGAAAGACGGUCUUUCUGUCACUUAUAGAUGGAUCCGCGCUGCAUUAGCUAGUUGGUAAGGUAACGGCUUACCAAGGCAACGAUGCGUAGCCGACCUGAGAGAGGGAUCGGCCACACUAGAACUGAGACACGGUCCAGACGCCUACGGGAGGCAGCAGUAGGGAAUCUUCCGCAAUGGGCGAAAGCCUGACGGAGCAACGCCGCGUGAGUGAUGAAGGUCUUCGGAUCGUAAAACUCUGUUAUUAGGGAAGAACAUAUGUGUAAGGAACUGUGCACAUCUUGACGGUACCUAAUCAGAAAGCCACGGCUAACUACGUG